rnacentral:piRNA from 1 species
AAGUACAUACUUGUUGAACGUCAAAAGA